CCCACAACUUCUACUUUGCUUUGUUUGUUAUUCCACCCAAUCCCACUGGGAAGGGAGGGAGGGAGGGAGCCCCCUGCCAGGUUAAACCACAUCAGCAGGGGCCCUUGGGUGCCAGUCCUGAAGGGUAAAGGGCUCCUGGAAGGCUGGACUUGCUCAAGAAGGAAUUCUUCAAGGCCCAGGAAUGAGCCAUCCCCGUGUGCUGUAGGACGAGCCAAUGGGGAAGGAGACUGUCAGGGAGAAAAUCAGCAAGGCUAACGGCCAGCGUGGGGAUCAUGACCACGGGGAAUAAAGGGAAGGUGGAGGUUCUCCAUGGCUUCUUUGUAUCUGCCUUUAAUAGUCAAACCAGGUAUCCCUGAGGGGCAAUAUGGGACCUGAGGGGCAAUAUGGCACCCAGCCCCACUGCUCCCUGCCCCGCACCCCCCAACUCCCAGCUCGCUGGGAAGCUCCUCUCCAGUGGGGCAACCCUACCCGGUACGGACGCAGCUGAUUUGUCCUCCCCGGCUGCGGGACCCUAUUCUUGUCCCCGUUGAAAUUCAUCGCGUUCUGCUCUGCCCAGCUGAGCGGUCUGCUCACGGCUCGUUGAAUAGCAGCACAGACUUCUGCUCUGUCUGCUGCUCCUCCCAGCUUUGUACUUGGUGAGGCUGCUCUCUAUCCCUUCAUCCAGCUCCCUGAUGAAGCUGAACAAGAUUGGACCCAGGCCCGACCCCUGCGGAACCCCGCUAGCUGCAGGCCUCCAACCAGACUCUGCACCCAGAAUCACAACCCUCCGAGUUCUGCCAGUUCACAAUCCACCUCACCGUGCUCUGGUGCAUGAGAAGCCGGACGUGAGCCAGCAGCGUGCACCGCAGCCCCGAAGGCCAACUGUGUUGUGGGCUGCGUGAAAGGAGGAGUGGGCAGCAGGGACAGGGAGGGGAUCGUCCCCCUCUGCUCAGCUCCGGGGAGGCCCCGUCUGCAGCGCUGCGUCCAGGCCUGGGCCCAGCACUCAGCGGGGGGUGAAAGGAGCUGAGCUUGGAGGUGCUGCUCAACCCGGGCCAUUCUAUGAUUCGUUCUAGGAUCCUUCCCUUUCCCCUUUUACGCCCCACAGAAAGGCCUCUUGCCACACAAGGGAUGCAGUGAGCAGGCGGGUGAGGAGCAGAGCAAACCAAGCUGAGCGUGCAAGGCUGGUUUCUUCCAUGGGACUUCUCUGAGGUCGAACACAAGGAUGAACAGACUGACUGGCUGCACUGGGAAAGCUGGCAGGAUUUCACGUUGGGAACUUCAAAUCUCUGCGUCGCUGCUGUGCUGACUAGGCUUGGUGGCAGAAGGACAGUGCCAGCAAGCAGCAAUUCUCUGACAGUUAAUGGAGGGGUGAAGAGGAGCAGUCAGGAAAGCAGGAGACAAUUGUCAUCAGCGAUAACCUCAGUGGGAGUGGGAACAGGAGGGGCUGGAUCUGUCCUGCAACCGCGGCCGGGCACCCGAACCUGGACGGGGUUUGUAUUUCCCUGCUCUCAGCCACACGCACCAUUCCCUGCUGGGCUCCCUGCGCUGCCUCCCAG